UACGUAGGGUGCAAGCGUUGUCCGGAAUUAUUGGGCGUAAAGCGCUCGCAGGUGGUGCGUCGCGUCGUGCGUGAAAGGCCCCGGCUCAACUGGGGAGCGUCGUGCGAUACGGGCGGACUAGAGGCCAGUAGGGGGAUGCGGAAUUCCGGGUGUAGUGGUGGAAUGCGUAGAGAUCCGGAGGAACACCAGCGGCGAAGGCGGCAUCCUGGACUGGUCCUGACACUCAGGAGCGAGAGCGUGGGGAGCGAUCCGG
rnacentral:rRNA from 1 species